AUGGCGCUCCCUCGCCACUCCCACCUCUUCCUGGUCACCGUCGUCCUGCUCCUCCUCUCCCGCCUGCCACGCUCUUCGCCGACGUACAUUGACGUCUCACCAUGCCCUUCUCCGGCGGCACGUACAUUGACGCCACGAUGGCUUCCACGGUCCACCGUCGGUUCUCCCUCCACUUCUCCGGCCUAUGAUCCACGGCCUUCGGAGCUCUAUGAUCCACGGCCACGUUUCCCGCCAAGAGGUCUCCCACGGUCUUCGUUGCUCUCCGAUGCACUCUCCCCGUCCGCUGCUCCGCCGCUGCGUUUCCUGCCACCGCCAUACGGCCUGCCACGGAGCUCGCCUUCCUCCUACAAAGCGGCGCCAAUGUUGCCGUCCACUCCGGCGCCACGGCUGACGCCGUCGUCGUCGCUGCCCGUCAACCCGUUCACGGCCAAGGCCGCCUUCGUCCGGUACUGGAACCGGAAGGUGCACGGCAGCCGCCUCCACCCGGCCUUCUUCUUCGCCAAGCUCUCCCCGCUCUCCGCGCCCGACGCCGUCGCCUUCUCCAACCUGGCGGCCGCCGGCCAGCUCGGCUCGCGCCUCCCCGCCUUCUGCACCGCCGCGUCCAUCCUCUGCCCCUCCACCUCCGGCGCCAUCUGGUCGGGCUCGGGGCCGUCCAAGGCCGGGGACGCGUCCGGUUCGCCCGCCACCAACUCCAGCGCGCCGUUCAAGAACUACGCCAACGGCAACUUCAGCAGCUACGGCAACAGCGGCGGCGGCGGCGCCGACGCGUUCGCGGUCUACUCGCGGGGCCAGGUCAACCCCGUCGACUCCUUCCACCGGUACGGCAAGGGCUCGCUUGGCCGGAACGACUCCUUCGCGACGUACCAGGCGCUGGGCAACGUCGGCACCGCCAGCUUCAACUCCUACACUGCCGGUGCCACCGGCGGCGCCGGUGAGUUCGCCGAGUACGACGGCGAGACCAACACGGUCGCCGUGACCUUCGCCAACUACGACGUCGCCGGAAACGGCCGCUCCCGCGAUUUCUCGGCGUACACGCAGGACGCCAACUCCGGCGUGGAGAGCUUCACCGGGUACGGCAAGACGGCCAACAGCGUCGGCGAGUCCUUCAAGUCCUACGGCAACCACACCAACUCGAUCAUGUCCGCCUUCAUCAACUACGGCGACAAGGCGAACAGCGCCACGGACACCUUCGACUCCUACGGACUCAACGGGAACACCCCACAGAACACCUUCCGGAGCUACUCCUCCGGCAGCAACGGCGGCGCCGACGACUUCAAGGGCUACAGGGACAACGCCAACGUCGGCGACGACAGCUUCACGUCCUACGCGAACGAUGCCAAUGGCGCCACCGCCGACUUCCAGAGCUACGGCAAGUCCGUGAACCCGGGGAGCGUGGGGUUCAAGGGGUACGGCCAGGGCGCCAACCCCAACCACCGCAUCGGCUUCACGCGCUACACCGGCGACAACACCACCUUCAAGGCCUACUCCAACGAGGGCGUCGAGUUCAAGGAGUACCAGAACAUGUCUAGGAUGGAGGUGUCCAAGGUGGCAGCCAACCUCUCCCUCUCUUCCUCCGGGAACCACCGGACGCCGCCCAAGUGGUCGCCGGAGCCGGGGAAGUUCUUCCGCGAGCGAGACCUCAUCACCGGGAACCGGAUGCCCAUGCCGGACAUCACCGACAAGAUGCCGCCACGGGCGUUUCUGCCGAGGGACAUCGCCGCCAAGAUCCCGUUUGAGGCGGGCGCCGUGUCGGCGCUGUUCGGGGCGCCGCCGGGCAACGCGAUGAGGCAGGUGGUGGCGUCGACGGUGGAGGAGUGCGCACGGCCACCCAGCCGGGGCGAGACCAAGCGCUGCGCGACGUCGGCCGAGGACAUGCUGGACUUCGCCGUGGAGAUGCUGGGCGACAACGUGGCUGUGCGCAGCACGGAGUCCGCGGCGGGCAGCGGCGGGGACAUCAAGGUCGGCAGGGUGGCGGGCGUGGCCGGUGGCCACACGACGCGGUCCGUGUCGUGCCACCAGAGCUUGUUCCCGUACCUGGUGUACUACUGCCACUCGGUGCCGAGCGUGCGGGUGUACGAGGCCGAGAUCCUGUCCGUCGACUCCGGGCGGAAGAUCAACCGUGGCGUGGCGAUCUGCCACCUCGACACGUCGGACUGGAGCCCGGGUCACGGCGCGUUCGCCGCGCUUGGCGGGAAGCCCGGUGAGAUGGAGGUGUGCCAUUGGAUCUUCCACGGGGACAUGGUUUGGACGGUGGCUGAUUGA
rnacentral:rRNA from 1 species